ACAAUUAGGAUUGUAUAUUUUAUAAUGGAUUUAAAAAGCCUUUUUGCACCUCAUUUGUGAUAUGCAAUUAUUUUUAUAAUUUGUAAUAUAUAAAUAAGCCUUUCUCCUCAUAAAUACUGUGAAUGGUUUUGUAUUCAUUUUGUCAUUUAUUUAUUACAAAAAUAUCGUUUUGUAGUAAUUUAUGUAAUCACCCAAUAUAAUUCAUAUAUCUCCCAUUCGGAUACAAACAGGGUUUUAUACUGCGCCUAUACACUCAGAGCCAAACAGAACAAUUUUCUGUCUACAUUUCUGACUGAAGGGUGAUGCAGCCAUGCUGAUUAAAAAAAUGCACUUUUCACUAGCGCUAAUUCUCAUGUUUAUGACAGUUUCUUUCAGUGUUCUCUUCAGGAGGUGAAAUGCUGUUCAGGUGGGUUAAAGUCUGGUGAUUGUCUUUUGGGGAUUGUCACUGUACUUUAUCCUCCUGAUAAAGUAAUUUGUUGUGUUUUAAAUCAUUGUGUAAAUCAUUUGCACAACAAGGUUCCUCUCUAUUCAUUUCUCUGCAUUUCUCAGUAAUCUUCAGACAGAAUGCUUCUGUUGAUUUCUGAAGUCAUUCUGCUGCUACCGUCAUGAGUUAGAUCAUCAUUAAAGAUUAGUGAGAAUGUUCCAGAAGCAGCCAUGCAAGCCCGAGCCAUGACACCACCACCAUGUUUCACAGAUGAGCUUUGGAUCAAGAGCAGAUCAUUUCUUUCCUCACACUUUGGCCUUUCAUCUUAGCUUCAGAAAUUUUAUGUGUUUCUUUGUGAAAUCGGUCCUUCUGAUUCUUACUGAUGAUUGGUUUGCAUCUUGUGGCAUGGUCACAAUAUUUCUGCUCUUCUUAUUCUUCCAGUGUUGAAUUGUGACACCUUCAUCCCUGCCCUGUGGAGGUCAUUGGUGAUGUCACUGAUUGUUGUUUCUGGAUUUUUCUUCACAGCUCUCAGUAUUUGUCAUCAGUUGCCUUUGGUUUUUCUUAACUGACCUGUUCGAUCUGUAGUCGUUCGUCUUCAAGUGGUUUCUCUUCAGGACAUUCUUGUAUUGGCUACACCAAAUGUUUGUGCAAUAGCUUUGAUUUCCCCAAUUUUUUUUUCCCCAACUUCAAAAUGUCUCGCUUCUCUCCUAUAGACAGCUCUCUGGUUUCCAUUGUGGUUCAUCAACAAAUACGUCUUCACUAUUGAAACCCUGGGCUCAAUGCAUGAGUAGACAUUCAGAGCAAAUAAUUAUCAGGGAAGUUUGAGGUCCGGUGUGGGUGCAGGUUUUCAUUAUAACCAGACAGAAGGUCCACACCUCGACCUUGAUAGCCGAGAACAACUGAAUAAAUAUGUGGAUUAAAGUGCGACUCCUGCUUAACAGGAACGAAAACCUGCACCCACACAUGCCCUUUGUGGAUAUAAUUGGACAACCCUCCAAUUCAACCAGUUGUUGUGUUCAAUCCAACAGGUCACAUCUGGGCAGUAAGAGAGCCUUGUCAGUUACAUGUUCAAAUAUAUUUCAUCAAUUGAAAAAUAGGUGUGUUCAAGCAAAAGGUCCAAUGUUCUAAGUUGUUUAAAACAUCUAGAUGUAAAAAUCAGGAAAUGAAAGCUAAAAUUCUGAUCCAUCAGCUCAUCUAUUAAACCCAAACCUAAAUGUCUUUUGUUUAUCACAAAAAUAACUGUAAGACUGUAUGUUACUUUCUGUUUCUGUGUAUAAUGUAAUGUACUUGAUUUCGGUUGAUAUCUGAUAGAUGUUAACAGCUAGUGUAUCCCAGCUGUCUUCUUAUUAAUCUCCCCUAUAAUCUGGUGUCACCCAGUAGAAGAUAAGCCUAGUUUAUUCCUCAUAUAAAAUCUUAUGUAGAUUUAUUUCUCUCGCCUCUGGGGUUUUAAAUUUACAUCCGGAUUUCUGUAAAGCUGCUUUGUGAUGGUGUCUGUUGUUAAAAUUGCACUAAAUUGUUGAGAUAAGUAAUUUUGGAUUAUUAAUAUUUGAUUAUACUGACAGCUUGAGCUGGGAGUGAGCCAAAUUGUUUUACAGGCAAAAGGUGAGCAGAUUCAAUAGUAAACUCACAUAUUCGAUGGAUUUGUCCUGUGUGUGUGUGUGUGUGUGUGUGUGUGUGUGUGUGUGUGUGUGUGUGUGUGUGUGUGUGUGUGUGUGUGUGUGUGUGUGUGUGUGUAUAAUUUGCAAAUUGAGUGUAAAUCUGGCAGAAAUAUUUAGUACACUUCGGGCCAACAAUGCAUUUAUACACAACUUUGCUGUGUAUAAAUUUGGUUCAGAAAUGUGAGAAUGAUGCAGUUUUUAUUAUUAGAGAGAAAAAUUUUUCCUUUAAAUUUGUCUCUUCACAAAUGAAAAUGUCUGCACUGUUUUUUUAAACAUUGCAGGAAGGAAGAAAUCUACAACAUUGUGUGUGUGUGUGUGUGUGUGUG